CUACGGGGCGCACCAGUGGGGAAUAUUGGACAAUGGGGGAAACCCUGAUCCAGCAAUGCCGCGUGUGUGAAGAAGGCCUGCGGGUUGUAAAGCACUUUCGGUUGGGAGGACUGCUUCUAGCACUAAUAUUGUUGGAAGUUGACGUUACCUUCAGAAGAAGCACCGGCUAACUCCGUGCCAGCAGCCGCGGUAAUACGGAGGGUGCAGGCGUUAAUCGGAAUUACUGGGCGUAAAGCGCGCGUAGGCGGCUAGAUCAGUCGGGUGUGAAAGCCCCGGGCUUAACCUGGGAACUGCAUCCGAUACUGUCUAGCUUGAGUACAGGAGAGGAGAGUGGAAUUCCACAUGUAGCGGUGAAAUGCGUAGAUAUGUGGAGGAACACCAAUGGCGAAGGCAGCUCUCUGGCCUGAUACUGACGCUGAGGUGCGAAAGCGUGGGGAGCAAACAGGAUUAGAUACCCUCGUAGUC
rnacentral:rRNA from 1 species